AAUGGCGGGAGGGGGCGCCCCUCUGCCGGGCCCCGAGUGGACGGCACCCUGCUGCGGGGCUGCGGCCGUGGGCGGAAGCCGGGCCGGGGCCGGGGCCGGGGCCGGGGCGGGGGACGGAGGUAGCCAAGGUGGCAGGGUUGGCCUGGGGGACCGCAGCCCAGAGGGGUGGGGACGGCGGCGGUUUGUCCCCGCGGGCAGAGAUUAACACUGGUGUCCCUUUGAUCCGCGCUCGGACACUCCGAAUUUACUUCCUAUAAAUCACAUCAUUGUGGAGUCUUUCCAGCCAACGAAUGUCGAAGAUUGAGCUCUCCGUCCUUUGGAGGUUUCUGUUUGUUUUUCCCCACAAUUGUGCCUGUGCUGUUCCUGCUCUCCCAGCCUUGGAGCACUGACUCCAGAGCCGUUUCUUAGCAUAAUCUGUUCAGGAGAUUGCUCUGCUUCCUCUCUGGCUGAUGUUUUCCCCCGAUCCAGCUGAUGCGCUCCCACAGCCGCUGCUCUAGAAGAGUCACUUCACAAAGAUACGAAGAUCUUGGUCUGCCCUGGUUUUAAUGACACAGGUAGGAUCCCGGUCAAGAACAAAAACCUGUCACAGCUCCAAGCCUUUAAAUUUAGUCUCUUGGGUAGUUCAGCUAGCAGUGUCAAGACCCAAAGAGAACAGAAGACACUCUCUGACAUGUGAAAGCUAAGAUGGCUUUGAAUUUCACGAUGUUGCAAUCGGAAAGCCUUGAACGCUUCAGGAUCAGUUCUAAUAUUUUCCUGUUGAUACUCAGUGUGGCUCACCACAGCUGGCUGAGAGAAAAAAAGCCCAAACUGCUCAUUUGCCCUGACAAGUCUUCACUCCCUGUGUUUUUGAUGAUUGUCUGUGCUCCGUGCUUGACUUCAGCAGCAGCUAAUAAGUAACUCCUGAUCCAGCAAAACUUCCAAAGGUUGACAGAUAUCACUUGAGCUCCCAUUUCAGAGUAGAUGGAAGCAUUCAUGAUAAAAUAUGGAGACUUUGGAACCAUGAGAAGAACACUCAGACUCCUGAGCAGCUGCCUGGGACCUCCACCACACAUGCAAAAAAGCUCAGUAUAUGUCUUGCUGAUACCUGCUCUUAAUGGCGUAAGGGUCAUUGUAGCCAAACUGCUGUGUUAGGGACCAAGACUACGGAAAAAAAUUCAUCAGCUAUAUUUACACUGAUGCAGCAGAAUUGCCAGGUCGCAGCCUGUACCAAUGGUUGAGCACCAGGUGAGGUGUGGCUAACCCAGGGAGCUCAGGAGCAAACAAUGCACCUGAGUGACGGAAAGGGGUGGACUUUGGGUCUGCCCCUCCUCUCCCUCAUUUAAGGGUUAGCAGCCAAGGGAACAACAUACCUUUAAGAGAGAUAGUGUUCUUCUUGAGCUGUUACUGGUUGUUGGAGGAGUGAGCCAAUUUUUCUGCUUUGUUACCUCCUGUUGCCCUAUAGUGCUUGUAUCCCUUUAGAAGCCACUGUUAUUGCCUUUUGCUGUACAACUGGUAAACUGAAGAGGCCAAUGCUCAGGCAUUGCUGUGCAGAGCUCUCACAGCUGAAUUGUGAGCAUGUUGCCUGGCAGUUUUGGCACUAUGACUUUUAGGGCUCUCUUAAAAGCUAUCUGGACGUGGCUUGGAGGAAAACAUGAAAUAUUGACUGUUCCCCAUAGACGUUUUGGUAUCAUCACGCUUUAUUGGAGGAAGAAGAAAAUUUAGUUCUGUGAUGUUAGCGUGCUACGCUAUUUGGCCUCGAAACUGAAAGGGCAAGGUCUGAAAAACAAAGAGAAAGGGUCUGUGUUGUGAGCCAAUAGAGGUGGACCUGUCCUGGAGCAAAACUUGUUGCUGCUGCAUAUAUGGCCUUAGGCUCUCUGGCUUUGGGGGAAGUUUCUUUUUUGUUUUAUGUUUUCAACAUGCUUAAAUAUAUACAGAAAUACAUGCAUAGCCAUGUGGCUUUUCAAAUUAGGAAACCCCUUUCCAAUACUCACUCAUUACAACUUGAGGUUAUUUACAUGCUCAUUAUUACUGUCUGUCCUUUAUCCAAGGUCUUCUCAUUCAAGCACUUCAUGAGUGCUUACAUGGUCAUUUCUUACAGUGUUUCUUGCUACAGUUCAGUAAAAAAUAACUAUUGCCUUGUUCCCUCUUAUUACUGGGAACUUACCUAACACAGCAGAUGAGUUCUUUUGACCUCAGAGCAUCACUUGGCUUCGUAUGGAUCCUUUUGAGCACCUUUCUCAUUGACACUGAUACCUGAUUUAGAGCCUGUAUGUGAAAAUUCCUUUGUGCUGAUAUUAAGCGUACAAUUCAGAGGCUAUUCUGGUGCCAUUUAGCCUGAACAUCAGGCUUCUAAUCUAAAUUUGUGAGAACGUAAAACAUUUUUUUCAGUCAGUCCCAGGACUUUUUUUCCCCAUUUGGACUUUCCUCGUUUGCUCUCAGAGGUACGGGAUAGGCAUUCACCAGUUCCUCAGUCUUUACAGAGGUAAUUGUCAGAUGGUAUUUUUACAUAAGAAGGUCAUCAAGUUACAGGUGAGAAUAUAACUGAAUAAUUGGUUUUCCCUUUCAAACAUGUGUGGCCUCUCGUCUCUAGAGCAUUUGCUGUUUUAAAAAUAAGUAUUUUUCCUGUUUUCAUCAAUUUUCUUGCCUGCAUACCCGCUCUUCUCCCCAAAAUCAUAUCCUCAAGGUAGCUAAACCUGAGUUUGAUAUGGAUCUAAGUUCAAAAUCAAAGUGUACUCUGUAGAUUCUGACUAUAGACUUAUGAACUUACUCCAAGAUAUUCAAGGCAAUCAGGUAUUUGGACUGAAAUCUAUCUAGAAUAAAAAUUAUGCUGAUCAGGAAGGGCCACGAGGCAAUCAAGGAACUAAAUGCUUCAUAACACUGUGCUGUGUACAAUAGUGCCCAUCUACAUCUAGCAUCACUGGAAUGAAUGUAUCUGCUUACAGACUGAGAAACUCUUUGCUUCAGUGAGGGCCAGAAAUGCUGACUUACUUGCUAAAGUGAAGGUGACUCAUAACAUUUACACAGAAUAAGACAUGAAAGAGUUCAAUUGAACAAUCUGGGAUUCUUUUUUUAACUCUUGACAGCCCUAUGGUACCGAGUCACAAGCUCCUGCGUAUACUUCAGCUUCCAUGGUUUUACAGAAUCCUUUUCCACUGAAAGGGAAAGUUCACCUACCCUGGUUUAGAAACCACAAGCUUUUAAAUAAACUUCUUGUUUUGUUUGAGUUGAAAAAAAUUAAUGACUUCAGUGAGGGUCUACUUAUUUUUUUUUAAUUUUUUUUUAAGACUCUCAUGCUGGUUUUGUACACUUUGAAGCUUCCCAUGUACUUGCAGUAAGGAGUAAGCUACAAAAGGGUUCAACUUCAAGAAAACUGCUCGCCUUCAUAAACUUCCUAUCACAACCAAGGUAGUAACUCUUGGGAUCUUUUCAACUUCUAUAUGCUCAGAUGGUUGAAAGCAUUUUGUCACCCUAGGAACAUCCAGAGUAAUGUGAUUGGUAGUAAAGUAAAGAAAAAUUAAGAAAAUAAUUGCAAGACACAAGUUGUUGUAAGAAAACGUUCUUUGAUAUUCCCUAGGAAUGUUCUUACGUGGAUACUUUAGGAAAAAAGAAAAAGGAAAUACUUCAAAGCUUUUGUAUUGUUUGUGCAUUAUGUAGGAUAAAAUUAUUUACCUUUCA